rnacentral:rRNA from 1 species
GUCUACGGCCAUGCCACCCUGAACAAGCCCGAUCCCGUCUGAUCUCAGAAGCUAAGCAGGGUCCGGCCUGGUUAGUACUUGGAUGGAAGACCACCUAGGAAGACCAGGUGCUGUAGGCG